UACGUAGGGUGCAAGCGUUAAUCGGAAUUACUGGGCGUAAAGGGCGCGUAGGCGGUCUUGUAAGUCUCGUGUGAAAUCCCUCGGCUUAACUGAGGAACUGCACGGGAUACUGCUUGACUUGAGUUCGGGAGAGGGAAGCGGAAUUCCGGGUGUAGCGGUGAAAUGCGUAGAUAUCCGGAGGAACACCGGUGGCGAAGGCGGCUUCCUGGACCGACACUGACGCUGAGGCGCGAAAGCGUGGGGAGCGAACAGG
rnacentral:rRNA from 1 species